ACACGCAGAUGCGGCCACCGUUUCGGUUUUGUUUGCAGCGUUCUGCUGGGCAUCUUUGGGUCGGGGCUAUGUUUAGGUCCCGCCCCGCAGCCGGGGUCCCGGCGGCCGCCAAGCAGUCGGCAGGGGGGCGCCAGAGAACCUUCUCUGUCCCUGACUUCGACUCGGGCGCGCGUCUUCGGGGAGUCUGGGUCGCGGGGAGCGCCCCAGUGGGCUUCCUCUCGCCCCCAAACCAUGCUCCUUAGGAAGAGCGGCGACAUCCCUAGCCCUACCUCGGCUCAGGGAAGCGAAAGGCGAGUUCUAGUGUCUCCCUCCAACCGCCCGAAGCCCGCGGUGGAGCCGGGAGGGCCGGACGCAGGAUGCUCGCGGGGCGCCCCCGGGCCGCAGCCGCUCCUUCCUGCUCUCCCCAGCGGGGCCGCACGUGGAAGACUGACCUCCGGUGCGCGGGCUCGGGUUUCUGCUAGCCGCCGGCGGCCUUCGCGCCCAGCGGGAGUCAGGGACAAAGAAACCCGCUUCCAGGGGCCGUCCGGGGCCCUACCGGGCCGGGUCGGCCCGAGAGGCUGGAGUCGGCGCGCUCUGCACCCGGGACAGUCUGCCAGCCGCCGGAUCCCCAGUGCCCGCGGGCGCGGAGCGCGGCGCCCCCAACACACACACACGCUCGCCCGCAGCCCUCCCGCGGGGCCCCCCUUCCCUCCCCCUGCUCCUCUUUGUUCACAUUGUCUUAGAAACGGCCCAACUCUCAGGUCAAGAUGGUGAAAGUUGCUGAGACUUGAGCGCAGCUCCGGACGCGGAGCGUGCAACUGAGAAGCAAAGUCGAAAGCAGAGACUGAACCCCUGCGGUGGGGAAGCGAUUCAAAACCUCUUUAUGGGGGAGAAGUCGGAUCCGCCUUAGUAGUCAGCUAAAGGCUGGAGAAGCAGAACUGGGGCUGGCCCUACUCCGGACGGGAGGGCUUCGCCUGAAGACGAACCGGAGCGAUGAAUUUGCAGAUUUCGGGGGCGCUGGAGGUGCCAGCGACCUGGAGCGACCUUCCCCUGCCCUCCGGGGAGGAAGGCGUGCUCCGGCCCGGGCGAGGAGAAAGGAGAGAGGAGCGAGGUGGUCCUCCCCUCUUCCAUUCCCACCCCCGCUUUGCCGCAGUCCAGGGUCAUUGGGUGUCCGGGGCUGGCUCGGUGCGUCUUGCUUACGUGUUUCUGAAGCAUGAGAGCCCUGCCCCGUGGUAUUUACAGCAGUCACAUCCGCGGAGGUACAGAGCGGGCUUUAACGUUAACUGCUCGGCAGCAGAUACAAGAAGCUGGGGAGGAAGUGUCACUUCUCAUAAACCACCCGAGUCGCUCGCAUUAAUCACCGAGGCAGCCAGCAGCGAUGGGUACAGCAGGGGCGUUCCUCGAGCAGUUGGGUACAAUGCGCCGAGAUGGUUACUUAGGGGGGAAAAAAACGAUGGAAGAAACAGAGACAGGCACAGGGAGAGAGAUGGAGACAGGGAGACGCUUCUUAAGAAGAGAGACGAGCAGCACGUGAACACCGGACAUUUCCAGUGAAGACAAGACUGGGACCAUUUCCACCAGCUGUCUCCAACCACAUUCUUUCGGUCUGAAUUUAGAUUGUCAUCCAAUGAGCAAAGACCAUUUCCGCUUCCGAAUCCUGCAGGGUGUGACUGUCCCUUUAAAAAGCGUUGCAGCAGUAGGAGAGAGGGCGAAGUAGCUGAUGGAGCACUUUCCCAGGUUGAGCGGCCUCCCCCACUGCAGUUGGCUUGAUCCACAUUUCAUACGCAUCCCUAACUCCAGCUGCAAGAAGCUUUUGCUGCUUCCUCGCCCCUUUGCCUUCUCUGUCAGUACUUAGGCCCAGAGGGGAAUAAACGACAAGAGAAAUAAAGAAGGCUAUGAAGAGGAAUGAGCACUGGAAUGGGAGCCGGCAGAUCUGAAACACAUCAUCUGACCCUCUACCUACUCCUUGUGUGGCUGCAGGCCCUCUCACUGGGCCUAGCCCUUUGCUGUGAAGUUAGGUUAAAGUGAGCUGUCAGCUAUAAGGAGCAAUCAGGAGCAUGGGAUGGAGGGGAGUGAUUUUGGAAGGCUGAAGUCAGUGUGACCCCAGAAACUAGGUUUGAACAUCAUGCAUGAAGCCCUCACCAGAAACUGACCAGAUCU